GAAAUGCGAUAAGUAAUGUGAAUUGCAGAAUUCAGUGAAUCAUCGAAUCUUUGAACGCACCUUGCGCUCCUUGGUAUUCCUUGGAGCAUGCCUGUUUGAGUAUCAUGAAAUCUUCAAAGUAAAUCUUUUGUUAACUCAAUUGGUUUCUACUUUGGUAUUGGAGGUCUUUGCAGCUUCACACCUGCUCCUCUUUGUUCAUUAGCUGGAUCUCAGUGUUAUGCUUGGUUCCACUCGGCGUGAUAAGUUAUCUAUCGCUGAGGACACUGUAAAAGGUGGCCAAGGUAAAUGCAGAUGAACCGCUUCUAAUAGUCCUUUGACUUGGACAAUACUUUUAUGAUCUGAUCUCAAAUCAGGUAGGACUACCCGCUGAACUUAAGC
rnacentral:misc_RNA from 1 species